GAAAUCUUCCUCAAUGUGCCUUUAUCUGUAUGAACCCAUCUGUGCCCUGAAUCAGCCACAAAUCUCUUAAUAGUGCGAUGAUCAUGCUUAAGUUUUCGUGAAAUAUCUAAUGUUUUCAUACCUCGUCCAAGGCAUUGAACUAUUUCACUCUUUUCGGCAGCAGAGAGAUCCUUUUUCUUCCCCAAAUUGCAUGAAAAUGGUGCUCUGCUUAAUAAUGUGGAACACCCUCCUUUAGUAGUUUUUCCUUAAAUUGGGCUCACC